rnacentral:lncRNA from 1 species
UGAGGUUUUACUGUUUGAAGUUUCAUCCUGUCCGUCAGAUUGUUCCAGGAUUAACUUUGCCAAAGUAUUUAAAUCAAUGGGACAGUCAAAUACAGGUGUGUGGACAAAGAGGAGAGAUCUGGGCCUGCUGCCUGCCUGCUAACCAAAUYACCUCAGAUAUAUUUUUCUGACAGAUGCAGCAACAAAGUGCACUAUGAAUUAAAGAGAAAAUGGACAAAAGGUGGCUGGAAGACAGUAGGUGAUAUUUAAUCCAUUCUCACCAAAUCAUCUUUUAAGAGAAAAAAAAA